rnacentral:rRNA from 1 species
CUACGGGAUGCUGCAGUAAGGAAUAUUGGGCAAUGGGCGCAAGCCUGACCCAGCCAUGCCGCGUGCAGGAAGACGGCCUUAUGGGUUGUAAACUGCUUUUGUUAGGGAAUAAACCCCCGUACGUGUACGGGGCUGAAUGUACCUAAAGAAUAAGCAUCGGCUAACUCCGUGCCAGCAGCCGCGGUAAUACGGAGGAUGCAAGCGUUAUCCGGAUUCAUUGGGUUUAAAGGGUGCGCAGGCGGACUGAUAAGUCAGUGGUGAAAUCCUACGGCUCAACCGUAGAACUGCCAUUGAUACUGUCAGUCUUGAGUCUAGUUGAAGUGGGCGGAAUGUAGCAUGUAGCGGUGAAAUGCAUAGAUAUGCUACAGAACACCUAUUGCGAAGGCAGCUCACUAAACUAUAACUGACGCUCAUGCACGAAACCGUGGGGAGCAAACAGGAUUAGAUAUCCCCGUAGUC